GACGAACGCUGGCGGCGUGCCUAAUACAUGCAAGUCGAACGCUUCUUUCCUCCCGAGUGCUUGCACUCAAUUGGAAAGAGGAGUGGCGGACGGGUGAGUAACACGUGGGUAACCUACCCAUCAGAGGGGGAUAACACUUGGAAACAGGUGCUAAUACCGCAUAACAGUUUAUGCCGCAUGGCAUAAGAGUGAAAGGCGCUUUCGGGUGUCGCUGAUGGAUGGACCCGCGGUGCAUUAGCUAGUUGGUGAGGUAACGGCUCACCAAGGCCACGAUGCAUAGCCGACCUGAGAGGGUGAUCGGCCACACUGGGACUGGGACACGGCCCAGACUCCUACGGGAGGCAGCAGUAGGGAAUCUUCGGCAAUGGACGAAAGUCUGACCGAGCAACGCCGCGUGAGUGAAGAAGGUUUUCGGAUCGUAAAACUCUGUUGUUAGAGAAGAACAAGGACGUUAGUAACUGAACGUCCCCUGACGGUAUCUAACCAGAAAGCCACGGCUAACUACGUG
rnacentral:rRNA from 1 species